UAGUGAAAACAUUUUUCACCUUACGCCCAUGUGACAGUAGCGAAACGGCCAAGCCACAUAUUUCGACUAAGGUGUAGAAGUUUGUGAAGUUAGGGCUUGUAGAGUUAGAAGCUUGGCUCUACAAGAGAUCUGAUAACUUUUUGACAGUGCAAGCCUUAUGGUUUAGUCUUGGCAACAUUAUACAU